CCUACGGGAGGCAGCAGUGAGGAAUAUUGGUCAAUGGGCGGAAGCCUGAACCAGCCAAGUCGCGUGAGGGAUUAAGGCCCUGCGGGUCGUAAACCUCUUUUGCCGGGGAGCAGAGGUCCGGACGUGUCCGGGCCGGGAGAGUACCCGGAGAAAAAGCAUCGACUUACCCCGUGCCAGCAGCCGAGGUAAUACGGAGGAUGCGAGCGUUAUCCGGAUUUAUUGGGUUUGAAGGGUGAGUAGGCGGGCAUUUAAGCCGGCGGUCAAAUGUCGGGGCUCAACCCCGGCCUGCCGUCGGAACUGGGUGCCUUGAGUGGGCGAGAAGUAUGCGGAAUGCGUGGUGUAGCGGUGAAAUGCAUAGAUAUCACGCAGAACCCCGAUUGCGAAGGCAGCAUACCGGCGCCCUACUGACGCUGAGGCACGAAAGUGCGGUUAUCGAACAGGAUUAGAUACCCCUGUAGUC
rnacentral:rRNA from 1 species